GGCAUCAUAGCUUCGUUGGUCAAAGCAUCUGUCUUGUAAGAAAGAGAUCCUGGGUUUGAUUCCCAGUGGUGCUU